AACAUCUCUGGGUGAGAACAAAUAUUUUAUCAAGUCGGUAAUCCAAGUGAGUAUUUAGAACCUGCAGCGAGUCAACGGUAGCAUUUUCGAGCUGGGGAUAAGGUAGUGAUGAUGGCUUGUAUGAAUUAUAUAUAUGAGGUUCCAUUUACUGCUAACAAUAAGAAUACUCAUUUGGAGAUAUCUCCUGGGAUGACAAAAUAUUGGUCAUGUACACAUUGAGAUAUAUAAUGCAAUAUAUGGUGCGGUGGUAUAAUUAAAAACA